GUAAGGUGCCUAGUCGGCAUAAUUUAUGGUUAAAACUACGAUGGUAUCAGAUCAUCUUUGAUCCUCUAACUUUCAUUCUUGAUUAAUGAAGACAUCCUUGUGCAAAUGUUUUUGCAGUAGUUAGUCUUUCAAUAAAUCCAAGAAUUUCACCUCUGAUAAUUGAAUACUAAUGCUCCCAACUAUCCCUAUUAACCAUUACAUUAAUCCUCAAAAUAGAAUCUAAUGUCCUAUUUCAUUAUUCCAUGCUAAUGUAUUCAAGCGUUAACCUACUUUAAACACUAAUUUUUCAAGGUAACAGUCCAGACUUCCUGCAACACUAAAUUAAUGGCAUUACAGUUCAUCAGGAAGGAGGAUCAGUA
rnacentral:misc_RNA from 1 species